GGUUUAUUGUUAUCAAUGGCUGGGUUUGUAUUUGGGCAUAUUGGUGUAAUAUUUUUUAUUUUUUUAUGUUUUUUUUGGCUAUAACUCUUUUUUGUAUUCUCUCUUUCAGUAAUAUAUUGAUGUCAGGGUUUUCAAGCUCAAACAGUCAAAUGAUUCUGAGAUACCUCAGAGUCGAAUUCUCUCGGGUCACUUGGCCUUCACUACUCAGCUUUGGUUCGCUGGUUAGUCG
rnacentral:lncRNA from 1 species